rnacentral:rRNA from 1 species
CAGCCCGGUAGUUGAAAUGGCUUUCCCUCCAGAGUGGAUCCUGAGUACGGCGGAACACGUGAAAUUCCGUCGGAAUCCGGGAGGACCAUCUCCCAAGGCUAAAUACUCCCUAGUGACCGAUAGUGAACCAGUACCGUGAGGGAAAGGUGAAAAGCACCCCGGAAGGGGAGUGAAACAGUUCCUGAAACCGUGUGCCUACAAGUAGUUAGAGCCCGUUAAUGGGUGAUAGCGUGCCUUUUGUAGAAUGAACCGGCGAGUUACGAUUUGUUGCAAGGUUAAGCGGAAAAAGCGGAGCCGUAGCGAAAGCGAGUCUGAAUAGGGCGCAUAAGUAACAGGUCGUAGACCCGAAACCAGGUGAUCUACCCAUGUCCAGGAUGAAGGUAAGGUAAUACUUACUGGAGGUCCGAACCCACGCACGUUGAAAAGUGCGGGGAUGAGGUGUGGGUAGCGGAGAAAUUCCAAUCGAACUUGGAGAUAGCUGGUUCUCUCCGAAAUAGCUUUAGGGCUAGCCUCGAGGUAAAGAGUCAUGGAGGUAGAGCACUGUUUGGACUAGGGGCCCUUCUCGGGUUACCGAAUUCAGAUAAACUCCGAAUGCCAUGUACUUAUACUCGGGAGUCAGACUGCGAGUGAUAAGAUCCGUAGUCGAAAGGGAAACAGCCCAGACCACCAGUUAAGGUCCCCAAAUAUAUGUUAAGUGGAAAAGGAUGUGGGGUUGCUUAGACAACCAGGAUGUUGGCUUAGAAGCAGCCACCAUUGAAAGAGUGCGUAAUAGCUCACUGGUCGAGUGACCCCGCGCCGAAAAUGUACCGGGGCUAAACAUAUUACCGAAACUGUGGAUGAACCUCUUUAGAGGUUCGUGGUAGGAGAGCGUUCUAAGGGCGGUGAAGUCAGACCGGAAGGACUGGUGGAGCGCUUAGAAGUGAGAAUGCCGGUAUGAGUAGCGAAAGAAGGGUGAGAAUCCCUUCCACCGAAUAUCUAAGGUUUCCUGAGGAAGGCUCGUCCGCUCAGGGUUAGUCGGGACCUAAGCCGAGGCCGAUAGGCGUAGGCGAUGGACAACAGGUAGAGAUUCCUGUACCAGUGCUAAUUGUUUAACCGAUGGGGUGACACAGAAGGAUAGGGAAUCGCACGAAUGGAAAUGUGCGUCCAAGCAGUGAGUGUGAGAAGUAGGCAAAUCCGCUUCUCGCGAAGCAUGAGCUGUGAUGGGGAAGGAAAUUAAGUACGGAAGUUCCUGAUUUCACGCUGUCAAGAAAAGCCUCUAGGAAGAGUAGUACUGCCCGUACCGCAAACCGACACAGGUAGAUGAGGAGAGAAUCCUAAGGUGAGCGAGAGAACUCUCGUUAAGGAACUCGGCAAAAUGACCCCGUAACUUCGGGAGAAGGGGUGCUCUAUUAGGGUGCAAGCCCGAGAGAGCCGCAGUGAAUAGGCCCAGGCGACUGUUUAGCAAAAACACAGGUCUCUGCAAAACCGUAAGGUGACGUAUAGGGGCUGACGCCUGCCCGGUGCUGGAAGGUUAAGAGGAGUGCUUAGCUUCGGCGAAGGUACGAAUUGAAGCCCCAGUAAACGGCGGCCGUAACUAUAACGGUCCUAAGGUAGCGAAAUUCCUUGUCGGGUAAGUUCCGACCCGCACGAAAGGCGCAACGAUCUGGGCACUGUCUCAACGAGAGACUCGGUGAAAUUAUAGUACCUGUGAAGAUGCAGGUUACCCGCGACAGGACGGAAAGACCCCGUGGAGCUUUACUGCAACCUGAUAUGGAAUGUUUGUACCGCUUGUACAGGAUAGGUAGGAGCCGAAGAGACGUGUGCGCUAGCAUACGAGGAGGCAAUGGUGGGAUACUACCCUGGCUGUAUGACCAUUCUAACCCGCCACGCUUAGCGCGUGGGGAGACAGUGUCAGGUGGGCAGUUUGACUGGGGCGGUCGCCUCCUAAAGAGUAACGGAGGCGCCCAAAGGUUCCCUCAGAAUGGAUGGAAAUCAUUCGCAGAGUGUAAAGGCACAAGGGAGCUUGACUG